AGAGCGAACGCUGGCGGCGUGCUUAACACAUGCAAGUCGAGUGCGCGGUUGUAGCAAUACAACUGGCGCACGGCGCACGGGUGAGUAACACGUGGGCAACCUGCCCUCCAAUGGGGGAUACCCCCGCGAAAGCGGGACUAAUACCGCAUGACAUUCCGGAGACUUCGGUCACCGGACUCAAAGGCCGUAAGGUCGUUGGAGGAGGGGCCCGCGCCCGAUUAGCUAGUUGGUGAGGUAACGGCUCACCAAGGCUAUGAUCGGUAGCCGGUCUGAGAGGAUGGCCGGCCACACUGGAACUGAGACACGGUCCAGACUCCUACGGGAGGCAGCAGUGGGGGAAUCUUGCGCAAUGGGCGAAAGCCUGACGCAGCGACGCCGCGUGGGGGAUGAAGCUUCUCGGAGUGUAAACCCCUUUCGACCCGGACGAAACGCCCGUAAGGGCUUGACGGUACGGGUAUAAGAAGCCCCGGCUAACUACGUGCCAGCAGCCGCGGUAA
rnacentral:rRNA from 1 species